rnacentral:rRNA from 1 species
AACGCGAAGAACCUUACCUACUCUUGACAUCCAGAGAACUUUCCAGAGAUGGAUUGGUGCCUUCGGGAACUCUGAGACAGGUGCUGCAUGGCUGUCGUCAGCUCGUGUUGUGAAAUGUUGGGUUAAGUCCCGCAACGAGCGCAACCCUUAUCCUUUGUUGCCAGCGGUUAGGCCGGGAACUCAAAGGAGACUGCCAGUGAUAAACUGGAGGAAGGUGGGGAUGACGUCAAGUCAUCAUGGCCCUUACGAGUAGGGCUACACACGUGCUACAAUGGCGCAUACAAAGAGAAGCGACCUCGCGAGAGCAAGCGGACCUCAUAAAGUGCGUCGUAGUCCGGAUUGGAGUCUGCAACUCGACUCCAUGAAGUCGGAAUCGCUAGUAAUCGUAGAUCAGAAUGCUACGGUGAAUACGUUCCCGGGCCUUGUACACACCG